GAGAUAAAUUUUAUUACUUGAAGGCUGAUAAAGCUCUUAGUGAUCUUAAUGCAUUGAUAGAGGUUAAAGAUGAUACAGAUGUGAAAAAUAUGAUGGAUAGUUAUAAGAAGUUCCCUUCGAAACCCAUUGAUAUAUACACUCUAUUUCGAGAUUAUGAUAUUUUACCAAAUGGACUUGGUGACGAGCUACUCGCAGUUACCGUUGAUCACACUUCUAAUCAACUUCAAAAUCC
rnacentral:lncRNA from 1 species